rnacentral:misc_RNA from 1 species
GAUGAAGAACGUAGCGAAAUGCGAUACGUAAUGUGAAUUGCAGAAUUCAGUGAAUCAUCGAAUCUUUGAACGCAUCUUGCGCUCCUUGGUAUUCCUUGGAGCAUGCCUGUUUGAGUAUCAUGAGCAAAUCUCAAAGUCAAUUCCUUUUGUUAAUUCAAUUGGUUUUGCUUUGGACUUGGAGGUCUUGCAGAUUUUCACAGUCUGCUCCUCUUAAAUGCAUUAGCUGGAUCUCAGUAAUUAUGCUUGGUUCCACUCGGCGUGAUAAGUAUCACUCGCUGAGGACACUGUUAAAAAGGUGGCCAGGAAAAUACUGAUUGAACCGCUUCUAACGGUCUAUUAAGUUAGACAAUUACCCUUAAGUUUGAUCUCAAAUCAGGUAGGACUACCCGCUGAACUUAAGCAUAUCAAUAAGCGGAGGA